AUCAUUUGAAGACAAAAAUAAGCCCUCAUUGACAUUCAUGAGCAUGAAGAUAUUCAUAAUCCGGCCUUUUCAUUGGCUAAGAGCGUCAUUAAUACGCGAUUUCCCCGAUUCUUUGUCAUCGAUACUAGUGGUAUCGUGUUACAGAAAUAAUUAUUCAUUUGACCUCAUUACGUCAUCUAAUUUAUUCAUUCUGAAACUUUUCUUUCCACACACAAAAUGGACCUACGAACACUCCGGUGAGUUGAGUUUGAAGAACAAGAAAAACAGUAGAGGUCUACCUAUAUGGUUCAAGAUGAUGAUCAUAAGUGCAUGCAUCAUUUUGCAGAUUCUCAUCCAGGAUGAUGCAGUUUUACAAUUUCCAUGGAGGUGAUUGAUGAUGAUAAAUAAUUGGUGAAGUAGGCCUAAUAGAACAGCGACUAGACCACAAAGAGAAAUACAACCUACAGCAGUUAUAUGAGCCAGGUGUAACAGAUGUUUUCAUUCAAGAAAUCCAACAAUUCAACAUUGAAGAGUCUGACUUAGGAACCACUUGAUGAAGAUGGAAAAGGUUUUUUUUUCCAAGUCCAAUUUUUCACAAAAAAAUAAUUAUCACAACCCCAAAUUCAUGACGUAUGAAAUUUCUUGUUGAUUUUCAUUAAAACUGGUUGCAAAAGGAGAAGCUAUAAACAUACAAAUAGGAGCGGCGGAGUGAAGUUGAAAGUGGGGGGGGGGGCAUAGGGAAAAUGCUGUAUUACAUGAAAUUUUUAAGAAGUUGCGAGCGAGCAAAAUUUUGACAUUUUUAAAAAGAAAAUCUAAAAUAUUCAGAAUGAUAUAUUUCACCCUUUUCUUUCC